rnacentral:lncRNA from 1 species
AUCCAUUCAGACACUAUCCAGCUAUGGCCAGGAAGCUGAAGCCCUCAGACUGAGGCAUCCUGCUGAGAGGCCCGUGGUCCCCAGGACACAGAGCUCAGAGCUGUCUGUGUGCCCCAAGGAGGACAUGCGGCAGGCAGGUUGACAGGCCCCCAUGUGGCCUACCCCCUGGGGCCUCCUGUCCUAGGGUUCUCAGCCCAGAUCCCAUAAUUCAGAUCAGUCCUUGAUUCCACAGGGGCUUCCUGGCGGUCAGGGUCAAGCAGCUUUUCUUGUCUGUGAUGCCAGUUUGCGGCCUCGUGUGUAUGGGGGACAGGUGUAGGUGUUGUGUGUGGCAGGUGUGGGCCUGAGCCCUGCCGGUUCAGCAGACACUGUCAGGUGCAGUUUUGGGUUGCAAGUCUUGGAGCAGCUUGGAAAGGCAGUGCACAUGAUUCCUUUAGGAAGAGGGGAGAGCUUCCAGAAACAGUUCUGAAAAUCAGAGAUCCUUAUUGCCCUCCCUAGGUGCUGGAGUUUUUUUCUCCACGGUUCUAAAACCAGCGUGCUCCAUUCAGCAACCAUCACUACAUUUUUUCAACCAUCCCUUCUUCUCCCCCAGGCCUUUCAUCUAGAAGGCUUUAUCUAUGAGAGACAAAGCGUUUUUAUAUGAAUUAAGCAGAAUGGUAUAUAGUGCUCAGAAAUUGCUCAGGAUGAGAGUCUGAAUUUUCAAACAUUUUCGAAGUGCAUUUGCACAGUCUCUCACUCCGUUUGUCCUCACCAUUGAGUAGCCUGGAAAAGAUCCGUCCCUUUCUGGGGACGGCUGUUUUUUAAUAAUCAAACUGCCUUCCCAGGGCACAUGUACCAGGAGGAAGGUGAGGGAGGAAGAGGAAAGGAAGGUGAAGAAGGGCUCUCAGUUGUUUCAAAUGGCAGCUGAUGCUAAUUUUGGUUUAAGAACAACUUUUUUUUUUCUUCUUUUUUUUGGCCAAACCCAAGCCAUGUGGAAAUUCCCAGGCUGGGAAACGAACCCAAGCCGCAAUUGUGACUUGUGCCACAGCUGCAGGAACGCCACAUCCUUUACCUGCUGCACCACAAGGGAACUUUCAGAGCAACUUUGCUUUUUAAAACCCAAAAAGUGGAGUUCCUGUCGUGGCUUAGCAGAAAUGAAUCUGACUAGUAUUCAUGAGGUUCGAUCCCUGGCCUCGCCCAGCGGGUUAGGGAUCCAGUGUUGCUGUGAGCUGAGGUGCAGUUGCAGGUCGCAGACAUGGCUUGGAUCCUGCGUUGCUGUGGCUGUGGUGUAGGCUGGCAGCUGUAGAUCCAAUUCAACCCCUAGCCUGGGAACUUCCAUAUGCCGCAGGUGCGGCCCUGAAAAGCAAAACAAAAAAAAA